rnacentral:tRNA from 5 species
GUGUCUGAGGUUGAAGUGGUCGAAACGUCGGUUUGUGACACCGGAGAAAGCGGGUACUCUUCGAGAACGCUUCGCGAACGAGUCCCGUCAGACAUC